UCAGGAUGAACGCUAGCUACAGGCUUAACACAUGCAAGUCGAGGGGCAGCAUGGAGUUGCUUGCAAACUCUGAUGGCGACCGGCGCACGGGUGAGUAACGCGUAUCCAACCUUCCCUAUAGUAGAGGAUAGCCCGGCGAAAGUCGGAUUAAUACUCUAUGUUUUCCGUUGCAGACAUCUAAGAUGGAACAAAGGCUUGCCGCUAUAGGAUGGGGAUGCGUCUGAUUAGGUAGUCGGCGGGGUAACGGCCCACCGAGCCAUCGAUCAGUAGGGGUUCUGAGAGGAAGGUCCCCCACAUUGGAACUGAGACACGGUCCAAACUCCUACGGGAGGCAGCAGUGAGGAAUAUUGGUCAAUGGACGAGAGUCUGAACCAGCCAAGUAGCGUGCAGGACGACGGCCCUAUGGGUUGUAAACUGCUUUUAUGCGGGGAUAAAGUUCACUACGUGUAGUGUUUUGUAGGUACCGCAUGAAUAAGGACCGGCUAAUUCCGUGCCAGCAGCAGC
rnacentral:rRNA from 1 species